rnacentral:rRNA from 1 species
CAGAGGGUGCAAGCGUUAAUCGGAAUUACUGGGCGUAAAGGGCGCGUAGGUGGUUACGUAAGUGAGAUGUGAAAUCCCCGGGCUUAACCUGGGUAUUGCAUCUUAUACUGUGUAGCUGGAGUGCGAUAGAGGGUAGUGGAAUUUCCGGUGUGGCGGUGAAAUGCGUAGAUAUCGGAAGGAACACCAGUGGCGAAGGCGGCUACCUGGAUUGACACUGGCACUGAGGCGCGAGAGCGUGGGGAGCAAACAGGAUUAGAUACCCUGGUAGUCCACGCCGUAAACGAUGAAAACUAGAUGUUGGGCAGCUUAGACUGUUUAGUAUCGAAGCUAACGCGAUAAGUUUUCCGCCUGGGGAGUACGGUCGCAAGAUUA